GGCUUCUUUCUUCAAAACAGAUUUUCCAGGGUGAAGUAGCCUUACUCUGACAAGCAGAAGGAGCAUUAGUCAGUGUCAGUCAGACUAUAAAUUCUCAAUAAACACAUUUCAGCCAAAUAGGCUUUUGCUCUGUCAGCAGAAUAUCACAGAUUCAAGAUCAAUGAAGUAAAAAUUCACAUGCAAGGUUUCCCACAGCACUGACACAUGGCCUACAGUGGGACAUAAACUCUAUUCAUUCACUGUUUUCAGUGAGGGUGUUAAACAGUUGAGAAAAUGAGAGUUGGAAAGACAAAAAAAAUCACACAAAACAGGAAGUUCUUGAAAAUGCUUGAAUUUGUACCUACUAUUCAAAUUUAACAAUAGGCUGUGCGACAGUGGCGUGCUUGGUAUAAUAGCCAGUAGGAGUAUCAGAUACAGAAGGAAAAUCCGCUGCUAAAAGAGAAUUCUAUCCUUAUAAUUGUCAUCAUGUCACGCAUUUCAUUUCAUCGUUCACUUUUGAUCGUGACUGCUUCACAUCUGCAGAAAUCACCUCCGAACUUCUGGUCUAAGAAACGAUGAUCAUUGUUUCCUUGUUACUCAUGCCUAUGUCACACAGCAAAAAGCCCAUUCAAAGACAUGAGGAAAAGUCCAACACAACGGAAAGGACAAAUGAGUCCAGCAUGUUUGUGGCUGCAACCAGAGCACAUUUACUGGCUGAAUUCUGUGUGCUUUUGUAAUCUCACUGUCAUCAUUUGCAGUGUGCUUGCUUGCUGUGUUGUUAAGCUGAGAAUGCUUUUGGCGUGAUACUUCACUUAUCAUGUUUUCACAGCACUUAGCAAAGAAUUUUCAGUUUGUUGAUAUUUUGCUACCAAAGCAAGAGUAAAAUAUAUAAAGCGUAAAGCUGUGAAGAUUUAUGACUUAAAAUUGGUUUAGAUUAGUAUUUUCAAAUAUUAUUUUUCUAAUCUGAGGACUGCCUUCCUGGAUUUACAGCUUGUGUGUCACAUUUUACUGUUGCACCCUGUGUUAUGGAUACCUGGGCCUGGUCUCACCCUGCCUCUGCUCAGACUCUGAGUGGAGCUACCAACAUCAGAAGUACGCUCACACUGGGAUCCUUGUGCAGUCAAUGCAGGGAGAUGAAGAUUGUGCUUGAAAUCUCUUGCCUGUCCAUAAAGCCUCUGAGCAAAAGCCUGGAGAAGGGACUUCCACUUUCCUCAACCAUAACAUUGAUGUAUUGGACGGCUUCUCUCAAGUCUCCUUGGAACCUUCUCCUCUCAAGGCUGAACAACCCCAACUCUUUCAGAUUAUCUUCACAGGAGAGAUGCUGCAGCUUUCUGAGCAUCUUCAUGGCACCUCUCUGGACUCACUCUAACAGAUCCAACAGCUUUACAGCCUGCUCCAGUAAGCAGAGAGCUGAGCUCAGACCUGCACAUACACCAUACAGCCAUCUGCAUCGCUCUAGUGGAAGGGCAAAAGAGAGCCACUGCAGUUACCUGCAGAAUCCUUCCACCACUUCAGUUCUGGCAUUAUUAGCAAAAAUGUCAUAAAGGACAUGUCAACAAAGAGCUGCUUGCUGUAUACUCUCCUUAAUGAGCCCUGCAAACAGCUCUG